ensembl:lncRNA
GCAUCGAACCUGGGUCUCCUGCACUGCAGGCAGAUUCUUUACCAUCUGAGCGAUAGGGAAGUCUGUACAAUCAUUAGCACAGAGCUAAAAGGAAAACCAUACCCUUGAGCAAGAUGAAUUGUUGUGUAAUCAUUAGCUCUGGGCUUAAAGAAAAUAACAUCUGAUGUGACUAAGACAAAGAAAUGCAGAAAAAAAUGUUCGUCUUUUUCUCUUCCGCUAGAGCUCUGGACUCAUUUCUCCUCCUCAAGAGCCCCAGACCCCUUUCUCCUCUUCAGAGGCCCCGAACUCCUUAUCAACCUACCUAAGAAUUAACUUUCUCACUAAGAAGAGAUUUCCAGAAAAGCUGUAGAUUAUUUACGAGUAUUUAUUUACUCAUGUAUUGGACACACUGCGUGGCAUGUGGUAUCUUAGCGCCCUGACCAGCGAUCAAACCCACCCCGCAGCAUUGGAAGAUGAGGUCUCAAUGGCUGGACCACCAGGGAAGUUUCUAUUUACAACAUUUUUAAAUGGAUUUCUGGUUGCAAAAGGGUAAAAAGAAAUAAAAUAGGUAAGGAUGGAUAGGCAGUCUCUCUCAAAGAAAAGUCAUCGAAAGUACAGCUGCUUCAAGAGGCAUAGCUUUGUAACUACUAGAAGAGGAAAUGUCAGAAAGUGGAACCAUUCAGAGAAGUCACAGAAGAAAAAGAAAAUGAGAUUCCUAGGUCUGCAGUGGCGGGAAUACUUCUGGAGGAGAAAGGAGGGCAGAGGGCGCGAAUUACAGAAUGGAAGUGAGGACGAGAAGGCAGUAAAGGCAGAAGCUCAGAGCUAACACGGGACCCUGCCGGCGGUGACAGUCCCACGGUCAAGGAGGCGGCAGGGCACGCAUCAGCAAGGUCCAAACCAGAUCCAGCGUCUGCACACUCGGAGAGACAGCGAGAGAGGGCCACAGUGCUCAGGCACAGUUGAAACUGACGCUCUGGAAACUGACACCGAGUGUGAAACGGUAGGGCCUCCCUGGUGGCUCGGUGGUAAAGAAUCUGCCUGCCAUGCAGCAGAUUCGGGUUUGAUCUCUGGGUCUGGAAGAUCCUCCNNNNNNNNNNNNNNNNNNNNNNNNNNNNNNNNNNNNNNNNNAAAUCCCAUGGACAGGGGAGCCUGGCAGGCUGCAGUCCACGGGGUCACAAAAGAAUCAGACACAACUUACCAACAACAAUGAAAAAAUAAAGUGUGGAGACACUGGGCUCAGGGCUCAUCCCAGUGGUUCUAUGCAUUUACUGGGGCUGUGGUCAUAGAGUACCACAGAUCAGGUGGCUUAAGACACAGACAUGUGUGAAUAUUAGCCAUAAAAAAGAGUGAAGUCUUGCCAUUUAUGACAACAUGGAUGGACCUGGAAGGUAUUACAGAGUGAAGGAAGUCAGACAGAGAAAGACAAAUACUAUAUGAUCUCAGUUGUACGUGGAAUCUGAAGAGCCAAAGAAAUGAACAAAUUUAACUAGAGAGAAACAGAGUCGUAGAAACAGAGAGCUAACAGGUGGUUGCCAGCAGGGAGGUAGAUGGGGGAGGCAAGAAGGUGAGAGAGAUUAAGAGGUGCAAGCUUCCAGGUGCGAAAUAAAUGAGUCAUGGGCAUGAAUCAUACAGCGUGGGGAAUACAGUCAACAACUACAUAAUACCUUUGUUCAGUGACAUAGCAUAGCUAGACUUGACAUGGUGAUCGGUUUGGAAUGCACAGAAACAUCAGCUCACCACGCUGAGUACCAGGAACUAACAUGGUGUUGUCAGCUGGUUAUACUUCAAAAACAAACAAGCUGACAGAAAAAGAGAUCAGACCUGUGAUUACCAGAAGGUAGAGGAUGAAGGAGGGCAUUGGAUGAGGGUCAUCAAAAGGUNNNNNNNNNNNNNNNNNNNNNNNNNNNNNNNNNNNNNNNNNNNNNNNNNNNNNNNNNNNNNNNNNNNNNNNNNNNNNNNNNNNNNNNNNNNNNNNNNNNUCAUCAAAAGGUACAAACUUCCAGUUAUAAGACAAAUAAGUAGAUAAAUAAGGACUAGAAAUAUACAACAUGACAAAUAUAAUAAACACCACUGCGUGUUAUACAUGAAAGCUAUCAAAAGAGUCAACCUUAAGCAUUUGCAUCACAAGGAAAAAGUAUUUCUCUUUUUAAAAGUUUUUGUCUGAGAAGACGGACGUUCACUAUACAUAUUGUGGGGGUCAUCACUCAAUGUAUGAAGUCAAACCAUGAUGCUGUACACCUUAAGCUUACACAGUGCUGUGUGUCAGUGACAUCUCAAUAAAGCUGGAAACCACAAUCUUACCAAAAAAGGCUAAAAUCUAAACAGUGAUUUUCUUUUUAUUUUUUCAAACAGGAUUGACAACUUUCUGUGGCCAAACAUAGCAGAUAGUAAAGUCGUAUCUACGCAGCAAGGACCUUCAAAUGUCAGGGCUCUUUGAGUGUGUGUGUGUUUUUCUGACAUUUAUUUCUAGAUCCUUUAAAGCAUGUUAUUAUUUUGUUACUGUUUUAUGUAUAUUUGCUUCACUUAACUGAAUAGGGACUUCUUAUGGGAGUUUCAGCAAUGCAAAACAAGAACAGGUCUGUCAGAACUGAAAGAAAUUUAAAACGUAAGAAAAAUUACCUAGGGGAGUGAGAAUGUGUCCUCUCUGUCAGGAAAACAGGGGAACUUAUGAAAAUACGAUAGAAAACUCUCAAUGGAAAGCACAAAGCCAAAGAUGUUAAAAAGGCAAAUAAAUAUUUCCAACUGCUAGGAUAUUCAUCAGGCACAAGCUAGGAAAAAAAAAAACAAAGGUAAAAGACUGGAGUGAAACGUCGAAAGGCAACGUCCAGGAGACAGUUCUGUCAACAGAGUCCAAAUAGGUGAGACGAGAGAAGAAAAGAAGCGAAGCAAGAUUAGAGACAGCGCCUAUGUUCUGAGCAUGCGAGAGGAGACAG